rnacentral:rRNA from 1 species
CCUUUGACGUUAGCUGCGGACGGGUGAGUAACACGUGGGUAACCUACCUAUAAGACUGGGAUAACUUCGGGAAACCGGAGCUAAUACCGGAUAAUAUUUCGAACCGCAUGGUUCGAUAGUGAAAAGUGGUUUUGCUAUCACUUAUAGAUGGACCCGCGCCGUAUUAGCUAGUUGGUAAGGUAACGGCUUACCAAGGCGACGAUACGUAGCCGACCUGAGAGGGUGAUCGGCCACACUGGAACUGAGACACGGUCCAGACUCCUACGGGAGGCAGCAGCC